rnacentral:rRNA from 1 species
CCUACGGGGGGCAGCAGUCGAGAAUCAUUCACAAUGGGGGCAACCCUGAUGGUGCGACGCCGCGUGGGGGAAUGAAGGUCUUCGGAUUGUAAACCCCUGUCAUGUGGGAGCAAAUUAAAAAGAUAGUACCACAAGAGGAAGAGACGGCUAACUCUGUGCCAGCCGCCGCGGUAAUACAGAGGUCUCAAGCGUUGUUCGGAAUCACUGGGCGUAAGGCGUGCGUAGGCGGUUUCGUAAGUCGUGUGUGAAAGGCGCGGGCUCAACCCGCGGACGGCACAUGAUACUGCGAGACUAGAGUAAUGGAGGGGGAACCGGAAUUCUCGGUGUAGCAGUGAAAUGCGUAGAUAUCGAGAGGAACACUCGUGGCGAAGGCGGGUUCCUGGACAUUAACUGACGCUGAGGCACGAAGGCCAGGGGAGCGAAAGGGAUUAGAUACCCGGGUAGUC